rnacentral:rRNA from 1 species
UACGUAGGGUGCAAGCGUUUGUCCGGAAUUAUUGGGCGUAAAGAGCUCGUAGGCGGUUUGUCGCGUCGGCUGUGAAAACCUGGGGCUCAACCCCGGGCCUGCAGCCGAUACGGGCAAACUAGAGUUCGGCAGGGGGAGACUGGAAUUCCUGGUGUAGCGGUGAAAUGCGCAGAUAUCAGGAGGAACACCGGUGGCGAAGGCGGCUCUCUGGACCACUACUGACGCUGAGGCGCGAAAGCUAGGGGAGCAAACAGG